rnacentral:piRNA from 1 species
UGUCUUCCCAGACGGCACA